rnacentral:rRNA from 1 species
AGAGUUUGAUCCUGGCUCAGGACGAACGCUGGCGGCGUGCCUAAUACAUGCAAGUCGAGCGGACGAAUCGAAAGCUUGCUUUUGAUUCGUUAGCGGCGGACGGGUGAGUAACACGUGGGCAACCUGCCCUGUAGACGGGGAUAACACCGAGAAAUCGGUGCUAAUACCGGAUAACACGAAAUGUCGCAUGACGUUUCAUUGAAAGACGGCGCAAGCUGUCGCUACAGGAUGGGCCCGCGGCGCAUUAGCUAGUUGGUGAGGUAACGGCUCACCAAGGCGACGAUGCGUAGCCGACCUGAGAGGGUGAUCGGCCACACUGGGACUGAGACACGGCCCAGACUCCUACGGGAGGCAGCAGUAGGGAAUCUUCCGCAAUGGACGAAAGUCUGACGGAGCAACGCCGCGUGAGCGAAGAAGGCCUUCGGGUCGUAAAGCUCUGUUGUUAGGGAGGAACAAGUAACGCAGUAACUGGCGUUACCGUGACGGUACCUAACGAGAAAGCCACGGCUAACUACGUGCCAGCAGCCGCGGUAAUACGUAGGUGGCAAGCGUUGUCCGGAAUUAUUGGGCGUAAAGCGCGCGCAGGCGGUUCCUUAAGUCUGAUGUGAAAGCCCACGGCUCAACCGUGGAGGGUCAUUGGAAACUGGGGGACUUGAGUGCAGAAGAGGAGAGCGGAAUUCCACGUGUAGCGGUGAAAUGCGUAGAGAUGUGGAGGAACACCAGUGGCGAAAGCGGCUCUCUGGUCUGUAACUGACGCUGAGGCGCGAAAGCGUGGGGAGCAAACAGGAUUAGAUACCCUG